CCUCCCCCCCAUCAACCAGGACCCACCAGCCCUUCCCCCUCUUCCUAGAGACUCUAAAAAGGGCGCAGCAGGGACAGAAAGGGGGCGCCCGGCCCAGCCACUCCAGAGCCCUGCGCACCCCAUGGCCCUGCGCCUCGCCCCGUUCCGUAAAGAGACAGCGACAUGGGGUAGAAAACUCGGCUGCUCUUCACCUCUGCUCACCCUCCGCUUUGGAGCAGGAGGGACCGUAUCUCCGGCAGGGAGCUGCCCCCUCCACACUUCCGGCAGGGAGCUGCCCCCUGAGAUGUGGCUCCCCUCCCCCUCCCCCCGGUGCACGUAGGGGAAAUGACUCAUCUCCCUUCGUUUUGGAGACCGCCCCCCGCUCCGGCAGUUUGUGUCGGGCGCCCGGGACGCUCUGUUGCCCGGUGGAUCCCAGAGAGCGCAGAAAUACACCGCCGGGUCAGCCCGCUGCGCCCCUCCACACCUCCCUGCGCACUUCCCCGCCAAGAGCAGGGAGAAUGAGACUUUGGCUCCAUUUAGGUUUCCUUGUAGCAGCUUUGGAAGGUGCCCGCUCGCAGGUGCAGCUGGUGGAGUCCGGAGGGGAUGUGAAGAAGCCGGGAGACUCUCUCCGCCUCUCCUGCAAAGCCUCCGGCUUCACCUUCAGCAGCUACCAGAUGCACUGGGUCCGGCAGGCUCCCGGGAAAGGCCUGGAGUGGGUCUCCCUCAUUUACACUGACGGAAGCAAAAGUUAUUACUCAGAUGCAGUCAAAGGGCGAUUCACCAUCUCCAGGGACAAUUCCAACAACCUGCUGUAUCUGCAAAUGACCGGCCUGAAACCCGAGGACACCGCCCGGUAUUACUGCGCUAGAGGCACAGUGAAAUGAAACCUCUUGUUGCUAACACAAAAACCCAGGCUGCGGAUUGUCCCUCCUGCCGUGCGCCGCGUAGGGGCAGCAGUUAAACGAAUCAUACAAGAGGCAGGAGACGGGUCUCAGCGUUCAAAACGAACAGCUUGUGUGUUUGUGUGUGUGUGUGUGUAUGUGUGUGUGUCGUGGAGAUGGGCUGCUGCUUUAGAUCCCUGGCAAUGCCCCCCUUUUACACAUAACCGCCCUGGGGCCUGCAGUGCAGAGACCAUCGGAGUCCCCCAUAACCCCUGCUUAACUGGGAUACCUCUUGUAAGAGCCACUCUCCCCUGGCAGAAGGGGAACGGUCGAUCUUCUCCUGAUCUUUUCUAUCUCCGAUACAGUGGACAGUGGUUGUCACCUCAGAGACCAGAAAUGGGUGAUGGGGCUGAUCUACAGCCCUUGGGAACCAAUGAAAAACCUUGCCUCUGAUUUCACACAGCUGUGGUUGUUGUGAUCUUAAGACAUACAUACACGGUGAGAGCAGAACCACAGCUGGAAUAAAUGAUCACAGACCCACUGGAUUCAAUGCAGCAGAUACCCCUAUUUAUGCCAGCUGACGAUCUGGGCCUUUUGUUCAAACAGUUAAAACCUCUAAUAAACACAUGGGUGCUAUUUAUCCAGUGGGUUCUGGGUGCCUAACUCCCUUAGGUUCCUGUGAAAAAACGAGUUUUUCUAAGAAGAGGCGCCAUUUCUACCUUGAGAAUGAGGUAGUAACCCCUUCACAAUAGUGCCCGCUCCUCCGGAAAGAAUUAAAGGCUGUACCCUGGGAGUUUUAAAAUGUUACAAAGCAAUUAAGAUUCCAGUUAAUAUUGGAUCCCUGCCCUGCGAAGAGUUUAUUAACUAAGUAGAAAACGAGACAACAGACGGAAUGCCCCAGGAAACCCGGGAUAAUGUGUCAGGGUGACAGGCACUGGUCCCAGCAAACCACUGAUCCGACCGCUCUCUCGCUCUCCCUCCUAGACACAGACCCCCCCAAACACACGCACGCGUGUCCUGCCGCAGCGUGCAGGGAAGGGUGAGCUGGAGCGCUUGUAGGGGGAGAGACCUGGCCUCCAAGCCCACCCGGGCCUGUGAGCUAGGAGCUGCAGUGAGGGACUCUGGAUUGCAAUAUUAUGUCAGUUCUCUGCCAUAUUCUCCGUUUUCAUUUUCAGCCCUAAAGACUCCCACAGCAUGAGCUGCGCCCAUCCCUUCUAAAUCCACCCCCCCUGCACCCACAUCCACAGAGCUAGUUCCCCUCCGUUCUGGACCCUCACAACCAAUCUCAUCCCCUAGCAAUACCCGCAGCCGGCCUGCUCCCCUUUCAUCUGUGCCGAACCCCACAUCAGCUCACCCCUUAGAGACCCCAACACCAGCGCCUCCCCCCUCCCCUCUAUACCUAACCCCCUGCUACCCCAGAGCAACUGUCAGCGCAUAGAGACACCAACAGUACCGACAUCUCCCCUCCCCUCUGUACCGUAACACAGGCUCCCCCUGCACCCCCAGGGCAAUGGCUCUCUUGAGCUCUCUCGGGGGGUGGAUCCCGUAUGCACCCGGUGGCAGACCCUCCUGCCAGCGUUAUGCAAAGCGGAGACCUCUCUGGUCCGAUUUAAAAAAAACAAAACAAAACACACACACAGACUUUCCCCUCUCACAAAGUCCAGGAUCUGCCUCAGGGACUCCAGUUCGGACCAGAUCCACCUGAGCUCUGCUCUCGAACCGCUCCAUGGCUAAGUUGUCCCUGGUACAGCUGCUCCUUGCACUGGCCACCCUCUCCUGUGAGCUGGGUUGGGGUUCGCUACUUCCACGCACUGCCCAUUAUGUGUCUAAUAUUAUGAAUUUAACGUGCAAUCUCCCUUUCUUCAUUUCCCCCCGUAGGGGCCCGCUCGCAGGUGGUUCUGACCCAGUCGGGGAAAGCGGUGAAGAAGCCCGGAGAGUCCCAUAAACUGCAAUGUUCAGUCGGUGGGAUUAGCAAUUUGGGCUGCAGCAUGUUCUGGAUCCGGCAGGCUCCCGGGAAGGGGCUGGAGUGGCUGAUUUACUAUUACAGUAUUCUCCAUCUGACAACAGCUACUCCCCGACAAUCCAGGGGCGAUUCACAGCCUCCAAGGACAGCUCCAGCUUCUAUUUGUACUUGAGCAGCCUGAAACCCGAGGACACCGCCGCGUAUUACUGUGGGAGAGACACAGCGAGGGGAAACUUAUUAUGCGUCCCACAAGAACCAGCAGCUUCCCGAAGGUCCAUGAAUCGCACUAAGCGGCAGAGGGCAGCAGUUACACCGAACAAAGGGAAGAUCUCACAGGGAGUUUUCAUGCCGCUAUUUACCACGGUGGAAACUGAGACCACAGUGAAAAAGUUUUUCCUUCUGCCCUAGAGGUUAAAAGUGGGAAGCCUACCGCUAUACUUCUAACACAAACGUCAAGGACACCUUUACUUUUCAUACCCCUCUGACCAAGACAUUAUCUGCAUUUGUCUUGGUCUCUAGCAAAAAGAGUAUUCUCCUUCCGGGUUUGAUCCAACGUCCUCUAAACCUAAAAAGAGUAUUUGUGUUGAUUGCAAUGAAGUUCAUGUCAAGCCCUAGAACCUUGGCAACUCGUAAUUCCUCUCUUCGGGACAAGUAUAUUCAAGACCCCAGGGCUCCUUGUUAGGCCCUGCACAGACGCACAGACACAAACAAAUUUCCCUCUGAGCCUUAGUUAGUCAUGCUGAUGUUUGUACAGCUUAUAAAGGGGGAAAUAUGUAAAUUACGGUGAUAGCUUCCUGUUAAAAUCUGUCUCUCUCUCUGCCCAGGCUGCUCCUGGGAACACAAUCCCCAGCCCCCUGUGUCGAUGCGGUUACCAGACAUUCACCCUGAGAAGUUUCCUCUCCAACACCAGAGAA